AAUGAACGUUGGCGGCGUGGAUUAGGCAUGCAAGUCGCGCGGGUGUAGCAAUACACCAGCGGCGCAAGGGACAGUAAUGUAUCGAUCAUCUGCCCUCAGGACGGGAAUAGCGGCGGGAAACUGCCGGUAAUGCCCGAUAAUGUCUCCGGACCAAAGGUGUGAGUCCGCCUGAGGAUGAGUCGAUAUCCUAUUAGCUAGUUGGUGUGGUAACGGCGCACCAAGGCGAUGAUGGGUAGCGGGUGUGAGAGCACGACCCGCGUCAUUGGGACUGAGACACUGCCCAGACACCUACGGGUGGCUGCAGUCGAGAAUCUUCGGCAAUGGACGCAAGUCUGACCGAGCGACGCCGCGUGCGGGAUGAAGGCCUUCGGGUUGUAAACCGCUGUCAGUGGGGAGGAAGGCCGUGUGAAGAGCAUGGUUUGACCUAUCCGCAGAGGAAGUGAGGGCUAAGCUCGUGCCAGCCGCCGCAGUAAAAC
rnacentral:rRNA from 1 species